GGGAGAGGGGGAGGGGGAUGGGGGGAGAGAGAGAGACACUAGGUUUAGUUUGGACUUUUGACACCUCUUUCAACAAGUCCACACCUCCUAAUCCUUCUCAAAUAGUUCUCUAACUAGGAACCAAGCAUGUGAGUGACAGAGCCAUUCUCAUUCAAAUCAAUCGGAUAUGGAAGUGCAGAUAUCUGUGUGAGCUGCUUUGACAAGCCGGGCAUCAAACUGACAGCUCAUUGGAAAGGCAUGCCUCGUCACAAGCCUGAAGAGACACAGAAUGACAGUUCACAGGCUCAAGUGCAAGAUGGCCUCUCAAUCUUCUUCAGCUGGUUAGGAUCUUGGCUAAUGCAGGGCCUCGGAUGCCAGACAGCAAAGGGCCUGGAGGAACAAGCAUGGUUCCAGCGAGCUCUUUAUGAAAGAAAAGAAAAUCUAGAUUCGGUGAGAGGUGAAGAGGUAGGAGGUCUGACUGUGUGUGUGAGGGAUUUCAUCAUUCCUAGAUUAUUGACCAUUAGAACUUCUUAACCAUGUUUCCUGCUUUCCAUGGGAGAAGAGGAUGAGAGUGUUUAUUGCAAAAAACGCCACCUGAUGGGCAAAGGAAAUACUGAAUGGGGAAGUGCCUGAACAAAAUUAAGGCUUCUGU
rnacentral:lncRNA from 1 species